rnacentral:tRNA from 1 species
GCCUCCGUAGCUCAGCCAGGACAGAGCACCGGACUUCUAUUCCGAUGGCCGCAGGUUCGAAUCCUGCCGGGGGCA